CCUACGGGUGGCAGCAGUGAGGAAUAUUGGUCAAUGGGCGCGAGCCUGAACCAGCCAAGUCGCGUGAAGGAUGAAGGAUCUAUGGUUUGUAAACUUCUUUUAUAUGGGAAUAAAGUGAGGAACGUGUUCCUUUUUUUAUGUACCAUAGGAAUAAGCAUCGGCUAACUCCGGGCCAGCAGCCGCGGUAAUCCGGAGGAUUCGGAGGUUAUCCGGAUUUAUUGGGGUUAAAGGGUUCGUAGGUGGUUAAUUAAGUCAGCGGUGAAAGUUUGGGGGUCAACCAUAAAAUUGCCGUUGAAACUGGUUGACUUGAGUGUAUUUGAGGUAGGCGGAAUGCGUGGUGUAGCGGUGAAAUGCAUAGAUAUCACGCAGAACUCCGAUUGCGAAGGCAGCUUACUAAACUACAACUGACACUGAAGCACGAAAGCGUGGGGAUCAAACAGGAUUAGAUACCCGGGUAGUC
rnacentral:rRNA from 1 species